rnacentral:misc_RNA from 1 species
UCACGUCUUACGACGGCAGUUUCAUUAGAGUUCCCAGCAUUACCUGUUGGCAACUAAUGAUAGGGGUUGCGCUCGUUGCGGGACUUAACCCAACACCUCACGACACGAGCUGACGACAACCAUGCAGCACCUCUGCUCGCUCCCUUGCGGGUCAGUCUCUGUUUCCAGAAACUUACCACGAGUAGUUCAAGCCCAGGUAAGGUUCUUCGCGUUGCGUCGAAUUAAACCACAUGCUCCACCGCUUGUGCGGGCCCCCGUCAAUUCCUUUGAGUUUCAAUCUUGCGACCGUACUCCCCAGGCGGGAUGCUUAAAGCGUUAGCUGCGCCACUGACGAGCAAGCUCGCCAACGGCUAGCAUCCAUCGUUUACGGCGUGGACUAC